AUCUUCCGCAAUGGGCGAAAGCCUGACGGAGCAACGCCGCGGGAGUGAUGAAGUGUUUCGGCUCGUAAAACUCUGUUAUUAGGGAAGAACAAAUGUGUAAGUAACGGUGCACAUCUUGACGUUACCUAAUCAGAAAGCCACGGCUACUUACUUGCCAUCAGCCGCGGUAAUACGUAGGUGGCAAGCGUUAUCCGGAAUUAUUGGGCGUAAAGCGCGCGUAGGCGGUUUCUUAAGUCUGAUGUGAAAGCCCACGGCUCAACCGUGGAGGGUCAUUGGAAACUGGGAAACUUGAGUGCAGAAGAGGAAAGUGGAAUUCCAUGUGUAGCGGUGAAAUGCGCAGAGAUAUGGAGGAACACCAGUGGCGAAGGCGACUUUCUGGUCUGUAACUGACGCUGAUGUGCGAAAGCGUGGGGAUCAAACA
rnacentral:rRNA from 1 species